rnacentral:rRNA from 1 species
UACGUAGGGGGCUAGCGUUGUCCGGAAUCAUUGGGCGUAAAGAGCGCGUAGGCUGCUGGAUUAGUCCGGUGUGAAAUCCACAGGCUUAACCUGUGAAUGCCGCUGGAAACUGUCUGGCUAGAGUCCGGAAGGGGCGAGUGGAAUUCCUGGUGUAGCGGUGAGAUGCGCAGAUAUCAGGAGGAACACCAAUGGCGAAGGCAGCUCGCUGGGACGGUACUGACGCUGAGGCGCGAAAGCGUGGGGAGCAAACAGG